AGUAACUUCGUGCGGUAGGCGGCGGUAAUUGGAAGGAUGCGUGUGUUUUCCGGAUUUAUUGAGUUUAAAGGGGGUGUUUGCGGCCUUAUAAGUAAGUGGUGAAAUCCUAUCGCUUAACGAUAGACGGUCCAUUGAUACUGUAGGGCUUGAGUAUAGAUGCCGUUGGCGGAAUGUGUCAUGUAGCGGUGAAAUGCAUAGAUAUGACACAGAACACCGAUUGCGAAGGCAGCUGACGAAACUAUAACUGACGCUGAUGCACGAAAGCGUGGGGAUCAAACAGGAUUAGAUACCCGAGUAGUC
rnacentral:rRNA from 1 species